rnacentral:rRNA from 1 species
GGUUGAUCCUGCCAGUAGCAUAUGCUUGUCUCAAAGAUUAAGCCAUGCAAGUCUAAGUACACACGGCCGGUACAGUGAAACUGCGAAUGGCUCAUUAAAUCAGUUAUGGUUCCUUUGAUCGCUCUCACGUUACUUGGAUAACUGUGGCAAUUCUAGAGCUAAUACAUGCCAACGAGCGCUGACCUCCGGGGAUGCGUGCAUUUAUCAGACCCAAAACCCAUGCGGGGUGCCUCUCGGGGUGCCCCGGCCGCUUUGGUGACUCUAGAUAACCUCGAGCCGAUCGCUGGCCCUCGUGGCGGCGACGUCUCAUUCGAAUGUCUGCCCUAUCAACUUUCGAUGGUACUUUCUGUGCCUACCAUGGUGACCACGGGUAACGGGGAAUCAGGGUUCGAUUCCGGAGAGGGAGCCUGAGAAACGGCUACCACAUCCAAGGAAGGCAGCAGGCGCGCAAAUUACCCACUCCCGACUCGGGGAGGUAGUGACGAAAAAUAACAAUACAGGACUCUUUCGAGGCCCUGUAAUUGGAAUGAGUACACUUUAAAUCCUUUAACGAGGAUCAAUUGGAGGGCAAGUCUGGUGCCAGCAGCCGCGGUAAUUCCAGCUCCAAUAGCGUAUCUUAAAGUUGCUGCAGUUAAAAAGCUCGUAGUUGGAUCUCGGGAUCGAGCUGACGGUCCGCCGCGAGGCGAGCUACCGUCUGUCCCAGCCCCUGCCUCUAGCCUUUAAGACAACAUUGAACAUGCAGGAAUGAGUCUAAAUGCUGUGGAUCAGUAUGUUAGGGAGAAUAGCCCACCUAUAGAGGAGGACUGUGGACUGAUGAGGAGCUCCUCCUGGACUUGUUCACUCCCUGGCACCGUCUGCUGGUCACUCAGCGAGCUCUGGGAGGCACUGACCGGUUGAGAGGAUGCCUCCUGGACCUCCUCAUCGCUAAGACGCUCCACCUUGACCCUCACAUCUUCCUCCUCUGCUGUCACUGGCGAUGACACUGCCUUGGAGCUCUCGCAUGUCAGGAAGUCGCUGAGCCGCCGACCAACCACCACCUCUGAGGUCCCUGGAGUGCCCUGCUCUAAACAACGAGGGCUCUCAGGGAGCUUUGAUUUGUCCGAAUGGAACCUCCGGUCAAUUCCAAAUGGGAAAGUCCAUGGAAAGGCCAGGGAGGACUCCACAGGCUGAGCUGUGGUGUCUGAGAAUGAAGGGGAUGGAUUGGGGAUCUGAGGGGACGUGGUGACAAUCUGUGUAGUGCAUUUGAGUGGACUCUCAGGUGAUGCCAUUGUUAUAAAGCUCUUGCGUUUCCGUCGUGAUUCACGGCAUAUAGGAACGUUUCUCUCCAUCACGCUGCAGUCUGAAGACACAGGUGACACACUGCCGUCCAGUGGCGUCAGGGCACAGUUUGAUGAGGCGCUCUCUUGUGUUGAUUCAUGCGGUUUAUCUGCUGCCAUGUUGUUGUUAUUGUUGUUACCCGGGCUCCACAGAAUACUUGACUUCAUGAACUCUG